GACGAACGCUGGCGGCGUGCUUAACACAUGCAAGUCGAACGGAAAGGCCCUGCUUUUGUGGGGUGCUCGAGUGGCGAACGGGUGAGUAACACGUGAGUAACCUGCCCUUGACUUUGGGAUAACUUCAGGAAACUGGGGCUAAUACCGGAUAGGAGCUCCUGCUGCAUGGUGGGGGUUGGAAAGUUUCGGCGGUUGGGGAUGGACUCGCGGCUUAUCAGCUUGUUGGUGGGGUAGUGGCUUACCAAGGCUUUGACGGGUAGCCGGCCUGAGAGGGUGACCGGCCACAUUGGGACUGAGAUACGGCCCAGACUCCUACGGGAGGCAGCAGUGGGGAAUAUUGCACAAUGGGCGGAAGCCUGAUGCAGCAACGCAGCAUGCGGGAUGACGGCCUUCGGGUUGUAAACCGCUUUCGCCUGUGACGAAGCGUGAGUGACGGUAAUGGGUAAAGAAGCACCGGCUAACUACGUG
rnacentral:rRNA from 1 species